ACUCAAAUGAAUAGACGGGGGACCGCACAAGCAGCGGAGCGUGUGGUUUAAUUCGAGGCUACACGAAGAACCUUACCUGGGUUUGACAUCUUAACGAAUGGUGUAUGAAAGUAUGGCAGACCCGCAAGGGACGUUAAGACAGGUGCUGCAUGGCUGUCGUCAGCUCGUGCCGUGAGGUGUUCGGUUAAGUCCGCAAACGAGCGCAACCCUCGGUGCCAGUUACAAGUGUCUGGCGCGACUGCCCGUGGCAAACGGGAGGAAGGUGGGGAUGACGUCAAGUCAGCAUGGCCUUUAUAUCCAGGGCUACACACACGCUACAAUGGCGCGUACAAUGGGUCGCGAACUCGUGAGGGGGAGCCAAUCCUAAAAAGCGCGUCUCAGUUCAGAUUGCAGGCUGCAACCCGCCUGCAUGAAGUUGGAGUUGCUAGUAACCGCGCGUCAGCAGAGUGCGGUGAAUACGUUCCCGGUCCUUGUACACACCGCCCGU
rnacentral:rRNA from 1 species